GCACCCUAGCUCAGUCGGUAGAGCAUCAGACUGCUGAUCUCAGGGUUGUGGGUUUGAGCCCCAAGUUGGGCA